AAACGCUGGCGGCGUGCCUAACACAUGCAAGUCGUACGAGAAAGUCGGCUUCGGCCGAUGAGUACAGUGGCGCACGGGUGAGUAGCGCGUGGGUAAUCUGCCCCCCGGUCAGGAAUAACCCGCCGAAAGGCGGGCUAAUACCCGAUAACACUGACGCUCCGCGGAGCGUCUUUCAAAGAAGGCCUCUGUUUACAAGCUUUCGCCGGAGGAUGAGCCCGCGUACCAUUAGCUAGUUGGCAGGGUAAUGGCCUACCAAGGCUACGAUGGUUAGCUGGUCUGAGAGGAUGGCCAGCCACACUGGAACUGAGACACGGUCCAGACUCCUACGGGAGGCAGCAGUGAGGAAUCUUGCGCAAUGGGGGAAACCCUGACGCAGCAACGCCGCGUGAGUGAGGAAGGCCUUCGGGUCGUAAAGCUCUGUCAGAUGGGAAGAAAUGGAUGGGGGCUAAUAUCGCCCAUCCUUGACGGUACCAUCAGAGGAAGCACCGGCUAACUCCGUG
rnacentral:rRNA from 1 species